rnacentral:rRNA from 1 species
UAACACCUGGAAACAGAUGCUAAUACCGGAUAACAACAGAUGAUGCCUAUCAACUGUUUAAAAGAUGGUUCUGCUAUCACUCUUGGAUGGACCUGCGGUGCAUUAGCUAGUUGGUAGGGUAACGGCCUACCAAGGCGAUGAUGCAUAGCCGAGUUGAGAGACUGAUCGGCCACAUUGGGACUGAGACACGGCCCAAACUCCUACGGGAGGCAGCAGUG